UACGUAGGGGGCAAGCGUUGUCCGGAUUUACUGGGCGUAAAGAGCGUGUAGGCGGCUGGGUAGGUCCGUUGUGAAAACUCGAGGCUCAACCUCGAGACGCCGAUGGAAACCCCCCAGCUAGAGUCCGGAAGAGGAGAGUGGAAUUCCUGGUGUAGCGGUGAAAUGCGCAGAUAUCAGGAGGAACACCCGUAGCGAAGGCGGCACUCUGGGCCGAUACUGACACUGAGGAGCGAAAGCGUGGGGAGCGAACAGG
rnacentral:rRNA from 1 species